rnacentral:rRNA from 1 species
GACGAACGCUGGCGGCGUGCCUAAUACGUGCAAGUCGAGCGAGCUUGCCUAGAUGAAUUUGGUGCUUGCACCAGAUGAAACUAGAUACAAGCGAGCGGCGGACGGGUGAGUAACACGUGGGUAACCUGCCCAAGAGACUGGGAUAACACGUGGAAACAGAUGCUAAUACCGGAUAACAACACUAGACGCAUGUCUAGAGUUUAAAAGAUGGUUCUGCUAUCACUCUUGGAUGGACCUGCGGUGCAUUAGCUAGUUGGUAAGGCAACGGCUUACCAAGGCAAUGAUGCAUAGCCGAGUUGAGAGACUGAUCGGCCACAUUGGGACUGAGACACGGCCCAAACUCCUACGGGAGGCAGCAGUAGGGAAUCUUCCACAAUGGACGCAAGUCUGAUGGAGCAACGCCGCGUGAGUGAAGAAGGGUUUCGGCUCGUAAAGCUCUGUUGGUAGUGAAGAAAGAUAGAGGUAGUAACUGGCCUUUAUUUGACGGUAAUUACUUAGAAAGUCACGGCUAACUACGUG